GAUGAACGCUGGCGGCGUGCGUAAUACAUGCAAGUCGAGCGAACGGACGAGAAGCUUGCUUCUCUGAUGUUAGCGGCGGACGGGUGAGUAACACGUGGAUAACCUACCUAUAAGACUGGGAUAACUUCGGGAAACCGUAGCUAAUACCGGAUAAUAUUUUGAACCGCAUGGUUCAAAAGUGAAAGACGGUCUUUCUGUCACUUAUAGAUGGAUCCGCGCUGCAUUAGCUAGUUGGUAAGGUAACGGCUUACCAAGGCAACGAUGCAUAGCCGACCUGAGAGGGUGAUCCGACACACUGGAACUGAGACACGGUCCCGACUCCUACGGGAGGCAGCAGUAGGGAAUCUUCCGCAAUGGGCGAAAGCCUGACGGAGCAACGCCGCGUGAGUGAUGAAGGUCUUCGGAUCGUAAAACUCUGUUAUUAGGGAAGAACAUAUGUGUAAGUAACUGUGCACAUCUUGACGGUACCUAAUCAGAAAGCCACGGCUAACUACGUG
rnacentral:rRNA from 1 species